rnacentral:rRNA from 1 species
GUCUCUUUGAUUUAUUUUUAUAGGGAGUUUAACCUGCCCGGUGAUUAAAGAGUAUAUUUAACGGCCGCAGUACUUUGACUGUGCGAAGGUAGCAUAAUUAUUUGCCUUAUAAUUCAAGGCUUGUAUGAAUGGUUUGACGAGAAUAGAUCUGUCUUAAUAUAAUUUUUUUGAAUUUAACUUUUAAGUGAAGAGGCUUAAAUUGUAUUGAUAGACAAGAAGACCCUGUCGAGCUUUAAUUUUUUAAAUAAAUAUUUAUUAUUUAUAAGUUUUAGUUGGGGUGACUAAGGAAUAAUAUUAAUUUCCUUAAUUAUUUUUAAAUUUAUAAAUUUUGAUCCAUUAAUUAAUGAUUAAUAGAAUUAGUUACCGCAGGGAUAACAGCAUAAUCUUUUUUGAGAGUUCAUAUUAAAAAAAGGGUUUGUGACCUCGAUGUUGGAUUAGAAUUUCCUAAGGGUGUAGAAGUUUUUAAGGGUUGGUCUGUUCGACUAUUAAAAUUUU